UACAGAGGCCUCAAGCAUUAUCCGGAAUCACUGGGCGUAAAGGGUGUGUAGGCGGUCGUGUUAGUCUUUCGUGAAAGAUCUUGGGCUCAACCCAGGAGACGCGGGGGAAACGGCACGACUUAGAGGGCGCGAGAGGUAGAGGGAACUCAUGGUGUAGGGGUGAAAUCCGUUGAUAUCAUGGGGAACACCAAAUGCGAAGGCACUCUACUGGCGCGUACCUGACGCUGAGACACGAAAGCGUGGGAAUCGAACGGG
rnacentral:rRNA from 1 species